AACCGGGUAUGACGGAGCGGCGAACGGGUGCGUAACACGUGACCAAUCUGCCCCGAAGACCGGGAUAGCCCGAGGAAACUCGGAUUAAUACCGGAUAUCUUCUUCGAGCCGCAUGGCUCUUUGAAGAAAGCUCCGGCGCUUCGGGAUGAGGUCGCGGCCCAUCAGCUUGUUGGUGAGGUAAUGGCCCACCAAGGCAACGACGGGUAGCUGGUCUGAGAGGACGAUCAGCCACACUGGAACUGAGACACGGUCCAGACUCCUACGGGAGGCAGCAGCAGGGAAUCUUGCGCAAUGGGCGAAAGCCUGACGCANCGACGCCGCGUGGGGGAUGAAGGCCUUCGGGUUGUAAACCCCUUUCAGGAGGGAAGAAAAUGACGGUACCUCCAGAAGAAGCCCCGGCCAACUACGUGCCAGCAGCCNCGGUAAUACUUAGGGCGCGAGCGUUGUCCGGGAUUUUUGGGCUUAAAGGGCUCGUACGCGGC
rnacentral:rRNA from 1 species